rnacentral:lncRNA from 1 species
UUUAUUCAACCAUUACAACAAUUCAAUUUCCAAAUAUGAACCAAAACCUACAUUACAUAAACCAAUUUCCAUCCAUAUUUUUAAACAUCCAAGCAUAACAUUUCAAGCAUACUAGCAUUGCCAUCAUACACCAACUCAUGGAAAAAAUAGCAUAGCACAUGUAUCAUACAUAAACAAGCCAUGUCAAAUGCAAUACAUAACCAAAAUCUAAUUACAUGUUAAUUUUCCAAUCAUCUAAGGCAUGGACAUAGAAACCACAUUACAAAUCCAAAUAGCCUAUACUAUACAUAAUAUUUUCCAUACAACCAUGACCAGAAGACUUAGCCUAGCACAUCACUAAAACAAUUCCAAAUAGGUCACCAAUACAAACAAGACCUAAACCUAACCUAACCAUAAUCAAAGCCUAAAACAGUCCAACAUUGAUCAACCAAGCAAUAUCAACCAAACCAUAGCCCUGCAGUAGCAUAAACCUCCACCAAAUCAAUCAUAAUCAUGCAGUAUGAUCCAAAAUUCUGCAGCAAGCAUGUGUACACAAUCAUCCACAAAUUGAGCCAACAAUUCCAGAUCAGCAUAUGUAGUUUAGUAGCCUGCACCAUGAAUGAACAAGGCAACCAGUUCACAUUAAGAACACAACAUUCGACUAACCUGACCUUACAACCAACCUGCAACAACCAUCAUUAUGCAGCAGCCUAUGCAUAUACAACCAUAUGCAAUCCUGUAUAACUCCAAAGUCCAGCAACAAUACCAAAAUCCUGUAGCAGAUGAAAAUAAGGAUCAAAACAUUAACACCAAAAUCACUCAUUGCAACAACCAACAUUCACUCUUGUGUAAUUUUUCAUAACAAUAUACCAAGCAGGGCCCUGUAUAUUUCAAUUAACAGUAAAUGAAUGAAUCUCACAAUAGCUAACCCAACGCAUUCACUAACAGGGAUUCAUAGUUCAGUUAGCCGAAAUUUGUUUUUCAACUGACCUCAUCUCAUUAACUAACUCCAUCAUUCAAACGUUAACUAAAUCCAAAUUAACAACUAACAGUUGCUAUCUCUAAGUGUUUCAUUCAAUUCCCUAACCGCAUAAUAACUAACUUCACAUCACAAAACUGACAAUUAAAUCUAACUACAAUUGUUCUAAUAACUCUAACAACUAACUGAUUCAACUUUUAACAAAAAAUUCAGCUAACCAAACUAACAAUCCUAACAGAAAUUUUGUUAACUCUAACUUCCAACUGAAUCAUCUAACUAACUAAUCUAACAGAGUCUUAACCUGCAUUUGAAUUUCAACCUGGCCAAUUAACAGAGUUUAGCUCUGUUAACCUCACAAUCCCUAUAAAUUCAUCAAGCCACUCAAAAUUUUCACAGAUCCAUCAUUUCAUCACGAUCUCCAUCAUUCACUAUAACUGAACCCAAUCAUUCAACACAUUCACUCUUCACCCUCUCUCGAAAUCAGAUUCAGAAGCUCGACCUCUCAACUCAGAGCAUUCAUAAUCUGCAUCUGACUCAAUCCUCACAUCAUUCACUCACACAAAAUCAGCAAUAAACAUAAAGAAGGAGAAGAAGAAGAGUAGAAUUUCGAAGGCAAUGAGGGGUUCAGAGAACAAGAAUCUUACCAGAAUUCCGCUGUUAGCUUCGACGUCUCCGAUAGCGUAAGUUUCUCUUUCAUCUUUUUGCGUCAACCGUGUUACCGAAAUGUGAACGAAGGUGAGGGGGAAUCAAAGUCCCAACCUCUUGGACUCCGAUUCCCCGUGGUGAACAUUUAAUUUACCUUUUUCAUAAUUAGGGUUCUUCGACGGCUUGCAUCGAUUUAGGUUUUAGAAGUGGAAUUAGAGAAAAAUGGACAUUGGAUUUGGAUAGAGUGCCUUGAAACAAGUUGAAUGAUGUUCUUAGUUUGAUUUUAGAGGGGGAUCUGCCGCCGUAGACAGCCUCCGACACGGCGGAGGGAGAAACUAGAACGGAGGAGAGAGAGACGAGUUUGAACGCAUGUGUGGUUGAAUUUGAGUUUCACUUUGCACGUUUGUCACGUGUUAUUUUCAUGUUAAACUCAUUAACUGACGUGGCCUACUGCUGACUGGAAUCCUAGUCAGAUUUUAUCCUUAUCCAUUUCCAGAUAUUGCCAUGCACUUGGUUUCUAAUUGGGCAACCUCUCCCUAACUGCGUGCAUUGGGAUUUUGGGCCCCUGUUUGAGCCCGGGUGCACCUGCUUUUGGCACCUCUAUUUUGCCUGUUGAGCCCCUGUUUGGGCCUAAUUGUACAUGCUUGUUUUUUUUUGUUUUUUUCUUCAAGUUUUGUCAUGCAUUUGUAGGUGAUUUUAUUUUAGAAAUUGUGCAAGUUAAUAGGAUAUUAUUUGGUAGUUUUGACUAGAAUUUUAAUGUGAUUAAAGCGUUGAUUUAGAAUUAAUUAUGUCAUUUUAUGGGUUAAUUGUUAAAAAAUGAAAAUGAAAGAUGUAUGUUUGACAUAGUUUUUGUUUAGGUGAUCAAAUGCAUGAUAAUUGUGGAUGGCAUGAUAUGAUUUGAGUUGAUUCUUGUUUAAUUCUUUCAUGAUUGAUUGUUAGUCCUAAUUGAUUAGAAUUUUUUUUUGGAUUUAAUUUUGUUAAUGAAUUGAUUCUUGUCGGAAUUUGUGGUGUUGAUUUUCUUGGUUAGAACUUUGAUAUUUUUCUCUGAUUAAAUUUCACUUUACCCAAUGGAAUGAUCCCUUAGAUUUAGGUGUAUAGGACUGAUCCCUAGGGUUUUUCAAGUCAUUAUCUUUGUAUGCAUAAAUUUCUAAUUGAUUCAGUUGAUCAAAUAUCACUUUGAUCAAUUAAAUCCUUUGAUUGUGCUCAAUUCACCAAGCCUAUUCAAGUGAUCAAAAGAACCUUGAUCACUUGAUAGGACAAGUCCCUUGUGUUCAAGCUAUAUUGGAUAUAUUGGAUCUCAAAGAGCUGCGCAAGAAUUCAAAAUUCAAAGAUCAAGAUUCAAGACUUCAUGCAAAUUCAAAUCAGUACAAGACAGAAUGGACUACUAUUCAAGCACAACAAAGGUGAAUUCAACACUUGUCAAUCAUGAGCCAAGUUGUGUGUCAUGAGCCUUAAGUAAUAGAGAAUGAGUGAUAAUGUAGAAUUCAUAUCCUCAUUCUGAAUAUCUUUGGGUACAUCACGAAUGACCCAGUUGCUCACUGUACUCGCCUCUAUUCAUAGACUUUAGUGCAAUUUAAAUCGAACGAUUGAUAAGUCUUUAUACACAGAUAUGAGAUGCAGACUAAAGAUCAGAUUUCAACCUCCUAGGGUUUCUUCUUUUUCCUAAUUUUUCUCUCUCAGUAAAACUAAAACCAUUUUGUGAAUAAACUCAAAAAAACAAUUAACAAUACAAUUAAGAUUGUAUGCUACGAGCCUUAAGCAAUAGAGAAAGGGUGAGAGUGGAGAAUUCCUAUCCUCAUUCUAAAUAUCUUUGUGUAUGGGACGAAUGACCCAAUUUCUCACUGUAUUCACCUCCACUCAUAGGAUUUAGUAUGAUUCGAAUCGUGACUCUCUUUUCAGAAUAAAAGCAAACUUACCUCAUCAAACUCAGUUUUGCCUUUGGGUUUCAUUUUCUGUUAAAAGCCUUUUCAGAAAUGACGUGUUACUUCCGUUCUACCGUGAACGAAGCUUAAACCUCCAUGUGUGAGUAAGCAAUGUUUAACUGCUAGAGUGCAAUCUGAGGUUAUCCAUUCUACCACUACAAGCAAAUGCUUAAGACUCUCAUGCUCGGGCAUACAAGCAAGUUGACAGUAGAACGUGAAUGUUAAUAAUGUUCAUUAAAAACAACUAACACAUCCAUCUUAGUUCCAUGAACUACGGAGCUCUGAUUUCCUCAUUGCACAAAUGAGGAAAUGUAGGCAUGAUGGCCCGAAUCCUUGGCGAGCACAUUAAUUAUUCACCCUCAUUUCUCUUUGACGAGUAAUCUUUAGAUAAUAACACCCGUUCUUGCAAAGAACAUUCAAAACUUUUCCCAUGUAGUACCAUGGAUGCGAGAAAUGAUAAUACCCCCCCCCCCUCCCUUGCAUAAUCGACUUCCAUACCCAUUUCUCAUUCCCCCGGGUUUUAUCGAUGUUUUCCCUAUAAGAUCAACAUCUGACUCAGUGUCAGAAUCAACAUCUGAUUUGACAAUAGGGGCAUCAGGGUGAGUGGGUUUAGAUGGUUAAGGGGUUUUAAAAGGAAUUAGAGAUGGCAAGUUUUCUGGUUGGGAUAGUUGGGAUAAGAGAAAAGAUGGAAAGAAUGGUUUAAUUAUUGGUGUGAUGGUAAAGGCAAGGAUUUCAGAAAUAGUUGGUGAGGGUGGUGGAAUAAUGAUAUUUGGAUUUUUAGAUUGGGAAGUAGAAAUAUGCAUGGUUUCCAGAACAUAUGGAACAUUGAAUGGAAGUGUGGUUGGAAUGGAUGAAUUGAUGGUAGAUGAUGGGAUAGAUGAACUGUUAACAACAAUUAUCAAACAAAUAUCAGAAGGAAUAGAAGUUCCACCUGAAGUAGCUCUAUAAGCUUUGUGUUCUUCAACAAAAUUAUGUCAUUGUUCCCUUGAAGCCUUAAACUUCUUGGUCAUUCUUUCAAAAUUCUUCUUAGCGGUCAUCCUCUACUUCUUCUGAGAAGUAACUUUAGAAGCCUCGAGAAGAGCAUCAAAAUGACACUUCUCCAAAAACUUUACCACCUCUUUCAGAGGAUAUGGCUUUGAAAAGAUAGUGAAAUCUUUCAAAGGAAUACUUAUGUUGAGAAUGGUAUCCCUGGGCAACUCAGAAGGAGGACUUACCAUUUUACUAAUAAUUCACAUAUUCUUCAGACCUAUAGUGUUAAGCAACUUUCCAGUCGUAGGUUUCAUACCUUCUGUAAAAUGAUCAUCUGUUAGAGAGUCAAUUAGUUGGCUCUCCAUAAGAAUGUUUGAAAUAAUCCUACCCAAAGGGAUGUCACUCUUUGUCCUUUUGCUACCAUCUCUGGUGUCUUUUACAGUAUCCCUUAGAUGUUGAAACAGAAGUGCAAGAAGAUUCACCUUCUUUUUAGAUUCAAUAUAGCAAAGGAUAUAUUGUUGAUCACCAUUGAUGUAGUUAGAGGAGUUGGUUAUUGGUAUGGUAUUAAUGCAUCCAAAAAGAAUUCUAGCCCAAACCUUCAGAUGAGAAUGAAGAUCCUUGAUUUUACUAGAGUAUUUUCCAUAGGAGAAAAUCACUUUAGACACCUUAGUCAAGUUGGAUUCCUUUUCUACCAUUUUUUCACACCUUAUACCGGACCCAUCAUGUCCAAUGAGUUUGGCUAUAAGCUUAUCAAAUAUCACUAUCUUCUUUCCAAAUACGAAUGAGGUAACUUAGAAAGGAGAUGACUUAACAUGAAUCCAAAAUUAUCUCACUAGGUUGAUAAAAAACUAGACCUUGCAGACAAUUGAAUAAAUUUUCCCAACCUUGAAAUUUACCAACAGGAAGAAGUUCAAUUCCAUUGUCCUUCAUAUUGUUAAACUCCACAAAGAGUUCUCCCAAUACUUCCAGUUUAUCUUCAAGAAAAUUCAAGGUAACCUCAGGAGCAUCAUAUGCAUCUUCAGUACAAAAAAGUUUUCCUGAAGAAGAUCUUGAUGUAUCAAUAUCUAGCAGAUGAGGAAGUUGAGGUUGUGGUUGCAAUAUCUAGAAGAUCUUCAUUUGUCUAAACAACACAAAUAAAACCAUAACAAAGAGAGCUAAACAACCAGAUCCAUAAACACAUACCAUCUUCAAUACCAAGACGUUAUGUGUUUAGGGAUCUUUUUUCUUCUUCAGAGAUCCAAAUCAUUUUCUUUUACUUCUUCUUCAGAGAUCUAGCACGUCAAACAUCACUACUAUUAUUUGUGUCAUAUUAUUGUUGUUGAUGUUAUUAUUGAGAUCCGAAACCCUAGAAUUUUUGUUGUUAUUAUUGAUGUUGUUUUUGUCGAUGUUGUUGUUCUUGUUAUUGAGAUCCUAAACCCUAGAGGUUGUUUAUUGACGUUGUUGUUAUUGAUAUUGUUGUUGUUUAUUGACGUUGUUAUUCUUGAUGUUGUGUUUGAUUUUGUUGUUGUUUUCUUGUCGUUUUUGUUGUUGAUAAUGAUAUUGAGAUUGUAUUUUUUGUGAUUCUUUAUUCAACUCUCAUCUUGUUCCGUCUAGUUGAGUUUAUUAUAUCUAAUGUCAAUUGUUUGUUUCACUAACCCCUCUUUGAAUAUAUAACCUAGUAAAUUAAUUUUGGUAAUAAUCAUAUGCAAAAUUAUGUUGUAUCUGAAACUUAUAUUACAUUGAUUAAUGAUUUUCUAGCAUUCUUCAACUCAUCAUUCAUCUCACGUUGUUUUAUUGCUAGAAUCUCUCCAACACUUCUAGUUUUUGUUCAACUUUUCUUCCAUAUUUUUUCAUUUUUCAAAGCAUCAAAUUUUAUGCUUUCAAGAAUGAAUUAGUAGAAAAGGAAGUGUUUAAUAAAUAAGUUGAAACAUUGAAGAUAUUUUAACCAUAAAAUAGUGUAAGAAGAAUGAUGAGUUGCAGAAUGCUUUAAAAUCAUAAUCAGUGUAAGUUAUUCUUCAAAUAUAACACAAUUGUUCAUAUAAUUAUUUUUCUAACCAAUUUUUAAAAGUUAUAUGUUCAGUAUAUGGUUUAGUGAAAUAAGCAAUCCACAUUAGAUUUAAUAAACUCAAAUAUUGUUUUACCCCUCAGUUUUAUGAGAUAACUGAGGUAAAAGUGUGGUAUAUUCGUCGGUGAAUUUACAAAACCGAGGGGACAUAUGUUUUCUCCAUUUCAUAAUUUCAAAAAGGUUUUCCUGGAUAUCGAACCCAUGAGCUUUUCACAUAUCUGUCAUUUUUUUAAAAACCCAGAGGUAAAGUUUUCACUUUUCAUGACGUCCUUUGUUACCUCGCCUAUUUAGCCGAUGUUAAAUGCAUUUCGCGUCUGAGGUUAAAUGUGAUUUUUCUAGUAGUGUGUUUGUCUGUCUGAGUGACCCAAGUAUUGUAAAAGUAAGAAAGUAGCUUGAGAGUAUUAAGACAACUCACAGACACACUCACACCUAAAACUAUUUUGUCAAAUGUGUUUAAACUUAAAACUCAUUUUAUAAGCCAAGACGAGUGAUUAAAAAGUUGUCCAAACCUUUUAAAAUCAUUUUUUCAACUAACCUAUCAAUUAGUUAAUUCUGAUAAUCAAUUGGAAAAGCCUUUUUGAGGCAUCUAAUUGAUUAGAGAAUCAAGCUAAUCAAAUAUAAAAAUGACAAUUGAUUAAUGAAAUGACAUGGAUAACACAUUAAUGACUUGCAACAGAUAACACAUUAAUGACUUGCAACAACUAUAUAUCCAAUACUUCACAUUUGAGUGUGGUAAUUGAUUAAAAGUGAGUUGUCUAAUCAAUUAGAAAAUUAUGCUAAUCAAUUAGAUAAUUAAUUCAGCCCAUGUAUCAUUUCCAUUUCAGGAUUUUCCAACUAAUAUAUAAAGGAGGUCCACCUCCACUUUAAACCACGCCACUUUCCAACAUUUUCAUAUUUCUUUGAAAUUUAUCUUUCUCCCUUUCUCUCUAGAAAAUAUUUUCUUUCACUUCUUAAUUCGUGUCAGUUGUUUAUAUUCUUAAGGGUGUGAUACUCUCAAGAGGCCGAGUUUGGUUAUUGAGAUAAACCUGUCAUAAAGUAUUUGCAUUGGGUUUCUUAAGCUUUUUCGGAAAAAGUUUUGUUUUGUUUACUAAGAUAAGCCAUAAAUCUCUAAACGGUUUGCUAGUUUAGCCUGGGGUAAAAUAUGAAUUUUCACAUUCAUGUUUGAUUCAAAUCAUGCCUAACCCCGAUUCGAAUCACUCUUCUUAAAAUAGACUUUUAGAGUAAAUUGAAAUGAAAUUUUGAAACUAAAGUUAGUAUGAUAUGAACCCUUCAUUCAUGAGUUUCUUGAUCCAAAUAAUCGACUAAUUUGACUUGAACCAAUAUUACAUUGACUUUUACCUUAGGGGUUUGAUUAUGCAUUCAAAAACAAGAUUUUUUUGCAAAACACCAUUUAAAAAACUGCACUCAAUUCUAAGACAUUUGCAAAGAUCUAACUAGAGAAUACUCAUUUACAAAAGAGAUAAAUGAUAAACGAUAAUAAAUAAGACAAACAACAAAACCAAAGUCCUACAGGGAAGAGCAACUUCAAAAAGAAAUACUUUUUAUUCAUGAACUUUAGUCUGAGAGAGUUACCACACAACCAAACUCGUGGAAUACUAAUUUGUCCAACUACUUCAGGAAAACUUUUUUCCAUAUCUACCUAUUUAGUUUGAAUGUUAGCCAAAUUUAACGUUUCAUCUCCACUAGAUUCCCCAUAGGGUUUUUGAUGUGGCAAAAGUAUCAGUUGUGAAUUUAAAGUAAUAAAGUGUACCCAUUAUUUAAUAAUCGACUAAACCUGUGAAUAUCAUGCUAUCAAAAUGAUUAGAUGAAUUUGAGUAACAACUUUUGUUUGAACUUGGUUCCCUUAAACCCUUUGAAUUGUAGAAGUGGAAGAAUUGGCACUAGAAUUUGAUCAUUAUGCCCCAUAUUAUGUGGCUUACUGAACCUCAUUAUGAACCAUAGGUUUAAUAGUAUUAGCGAGUGGUUGAGAGACUUAAUACUGUAUGCCAUGUAAACUCGUGACUAUCUGUUGUCUAAUAAAGUAUAUUGUCAUUACCACUGGUGUUUCAGGUGGAACAACAUGUGUGUCUCUAGAAGCCUUUGAAAGAAGAUGAUGAUGUUGGAAUUCCUAAUGUUUGUGGAGGUCCAUUAGGUCUUUGUAGCAUGACCCCUUUGAUGUUGAUGAAAGUGAUUGAUCUUUGUUGUUGACAUUUAUUUUUUAAAAUGCAAGUGCAUAAGCAAAAUUUAGUCUUGACUAGGCGAACUAAAUUUUUAUUAGUUGUACUUGUAAUGUCCCAUUGGAUGUGUUAACCAGUCGACAAAUAUCUCUCAACGAUGAUUCCUUGUUCUUUAAGUGAUUAAGUUGAGGAAGAAAUUACAUUCCCCAAAUGUGACUUCCUUAAUUACUCUAACGAGUGGUAAGCACAAUGUUUUGGGAUGUUUGAGCCACUGAACUUAAAAUGCAUGAAAUGUAACCUAAAGAGAGAAAUACUAAACUAUAAGAAUACUUGUAUGAUUGUUUGUGUGUUUCAAAAUAUUACAGUUUAGUAUUAUAUAUAAUUUAUAAAAAAAUUAUUCUUGGUAAACUAUUUACGUGAGUGAUACACGAGUUUUUCUCUUAUUAGGGAUAUGUGGCGUCUCACAUUCGGUUUGAUUCUCUCAUUUUACGACUUUUUUCUCCUUAUCCAUGCAUGCACAAUUUUGUCAAAAUAUUCUUCUUUACAUUUAGUUUAUUCGAUUAGUGGUACUUUACAUUUAGCUUUAUUCGGUUAGUGGUGCUAUAAACAUAGAUUACUAGUAAAAUAUCCAAUAAUCAAGUCCUAAUGAACUAUGAUUCCAACACUUUCACAACCUCCGUAGACCUCAAUAAACUUAAGAAAGAUUUGACUACGUCACAUUCAAAUACAUUUUGCACUCACUUAAACUUAUAUCAUUACAAAUGUAUAUGAUUUAAACUUAUACCAAUACCAAGAACAUUCAUUGUUACUAAAUUAUAUGUGAUCUCAACUAACAAUUAUUUAUUGUUAAGCGUAAAUAAGUUUGAGGCAAAAUGGUAGAUUGCACAAAAAUCAUCUUGGACAUCGGAUAUACUCAAAAGUUCAUGGGAGCACAUACUCACGAUAAGAAAUUGAUAUAAAAUCUUAUACAACUUUUCAAAAAACAAAGAAUGAUAAAGUUAUUUCGUAAUUUGCAAGGGGAUGAGACAAGUUACAACACAACUUUGUUGAGUGGGGGAAGGAUUGAGAAAACAGAAUAUUUUGCUCUCUUUUAUUCCUCUUUUUCCUUUUCCCCUUUGUAUUCAAAUGUGUGUCCCACUGUGCAUCCUUUUUCUAAUGUCAUCUUUAUAUCAAAGACCUCUAUAGUCUUUUAACUGUGACUUUAUAAUAAACUAGCAAGAUAAAGAUAGAUGGCAAGAAAAGAUAAGACAUUGAGAAAAUAAAAAGGAGAGAAGAAGAAAAGAUUCCAAAAGCAAAUUUGCAAUGGAGAAAAAGGCUCAUAUCUGAUCAAUGGUCCAAUGCCAUGCCAUUAUAAGUUUGACAAACUUAAAUCAAUUUAUUUACCUGCAUGAGAAAAUAUUCAAAUAAAAUAAGGAAUUAUUGAAUAAUUAAUUAGAUUUUUGCUUAAGAUUAUAAAGAAAAUUAUAUGGUGUAUUUACCGUGGUGUCCCUCACAAAUCCUUCUCAAGAAAGCCAGGAAAAUUAUAAGUAUUGCUACCGCUGCUAUUAAUCCAAUAAUUAUGGCAAAUGUCUUCUCACUAUCAUUGUCUGAUUUACCUGUAGGACGAUCCACCAAGAAUCAAACUUUUAUUAUCGCAAAAAUAAAUAAAAAGAAACUUUUUUCUUCAAAAUAAUAUUAAAAAUAAAUAAUUAUUCAAUUGAUAAUUAUGUAAUAAUUUCAAAUAUAAGAGUGCGGAAUUAUAAUAUUUAUUUAUUUAUUUUUAAAUAAUAUUUUAAAAAUCAGAUUGAUCAUCAAAUUGGUGAGGAUAUUAGAUUACUGGAUCACUGAUCUAAUGGCAUGAUUAAAUCAGAUAAAAUCGAAUAACUCGGUUGAGUAAAUCGAUCUCUAUAACAAUCUUUUAAAACUAUUUAAUUAAACUUAUUCUAAUUUAAAUAAAAAAUAUAAUUCUCUCAAUAAUCUAUCACAGUAUCAGUCUUUCUCUAUCUCAUAAAAAAUAUAAUUCUCUCAAUAAUCUAUCACAGUAUCGGUCUUUCACAAUAAAUUAUAUUAAACAAAUAAAUUUACCAUGAGACUUGGAGUAAGCAUGGCCCCCACCAGCACCACCAGUAGAGUACCUCGCAUAACACUUGGCUAAAAACAUAUCUCCGUAAUCCGCCGCUGGACAGUCACUUCUCAGCCGUUGGAUCGCCUCCGAAACACAAUCCUGACACUCCAAAAAACUCAAAUCCCCAAUACACUGCACCAUUCCUUUCAGCUGACCCGACCCACCAGCCCGAAAAUACCCACCUGAACCCACCAACCCAGCCAAUACAGCAUCUCGGGUACUCGGGUCAUACCCGAUUGAAGACCCACAUUUUUUCAACACCACCGUUUUAUCCACCACGCCCAAAAACUUAACAUUAUCAUAUUUCACGUAACAUCCUUCUAGCUGCACUACGCCCCCACGCGUGACCGAACAUAUGUCACCGGCGCGUGAGACAGCGCGUGAAACGCAGGAGGCGCAGUCUGGCAUGGAGAGGUCGCCGCGGCAUUGGUAGAGACCGUAAACGAUGUCGUUGGGAUUUGAAGCGACGAUGGUGAAGUUGUUGUAGGAUGUGUAGGUUGCUGAGUUAACUAGUGAAGUGAGGAGUGAGUUGAGGUUGAACUCGUAGGGUGAGGUUGAGGUGAAUGUCUGUUGUGUGCAACCACCGUAGAUGAAUGUGUCUGUGGAGAAGGAAAGAGAAUGGAGAAUGAAAAUUAAGAAGAAUAAAAGGGAGAGGAACGUUUUUGUUUUGACCAUUUCGGUUCUUCUCAACGUUUGUGUUAUGUUUGAUAUUUUGUUGGAGAGAGAAACAAUUAGCUAGCUAGUUUUGGUGGUUUUGAAUAUGUAUGUUGACGUACGUAAGAUUGAUAUAUACAUGCAGUUUUUCUUUUGGUGUUGCUACUUAAUCAUGCCCAUAUUGCUUCGUAAUUGGGGAGUGAAGACUUGAAGGCCUCUCUAUCAUUUUAGUUUAGGGGUUCUAUAUGAUGCUGCAUGAAACAUGAAACAGGUCUACAACUAUGAAGUAUAGACUCUAACACGGACAUUGAGAUACGAUACGAUACAAAUACUCUCGAAUUGAUAAUAUUAAAAAUAUAAGAUGCGACAUGUAAUAUGUAAGAUGAUUAGUAUUUAAAUUUCAUUUAUCCAUUUAUUAUUAAAAUAGUUAAAAUUAUCCUAAUCAACAACUAUUUUAGAAAUAUGUGAGAUUUGACUUAAAUAUAUAUAUAAAAUAUAUUGAAGUAAAGAAAAAAUCAAUUCUUUUAUAAAUAUUUGUUUAAAUUGUUCGAUAUAUGUUGUAUGAUUGUCAAACGGUUCUCAUAUAUUGAUUAAAACUGUUGAAAAAUUUAAAACUAUUGAAGUAAAGAUAAUAAAUCUUUGAUUUAGGGAUACUUUUUUAUAUAUGUCAUACAUCAAUUAUUAGUUUCUACCGUGGUUACUUUUAAUAUUAUUCAAAUACUAUGUUACCUUUUUUAUGAUGCAAGUGUCAUGUAGAACACCCAUUAACAUUUAGAUUCAGAUAAGAUGAUGGUAAGCAAUUUCUUUCUUCGAACUCAAUUCAUGAUGGUAAGCAAUUUCUUUCUUCGAACUCAAUUUUGGGUACUUAGUAGGCAUGGCAACGGGAUCGGUUGGAAACGGUUUUUACCUCUUCCAAAUUUAAAUCCAAACCCCAAAACAAUCUUCAUUCCCCGCCCCAAACCCAAACGGGGAUGGAAAAUCAAAACCCAAAUCCGUCUCAAACGGGUUCGGAUUGGAUUCGGGUAUUCCCGCCCCGCCACCAUUUAUUUAGUGAAAUCAAUUUUUUAAAUAGAAAUAUUUAUUUUUUCAAAAUAAAAUUACACUACAAAUAAUAAAAUAAAACAAUCUAAAAAAAUUCCGUACAUACAUUUCAAAUAUUUUAAAUAAUAAAUUCAAAUUAAAAUAUCAAAACAUUGAACAUAUAUUUAAUAUUUUAAAUAUUCAAAAAUAAAUAAUAAUAUACAUAAUGAAAUAAACGGGACGGGUUCGGGGUGGGUACUAGUGUCCCCAUUACCCGACCCAUAUCCAUAUUUUAAAAUCGGGGAAAACCCAAACCCGAACCCAAACCCAAUCAAAACGGAUUUUUCCCGUCAAUUUCGGGGCGGAUUCGGGUUGGUACCCACGGAUAUGGGUUAUGUAGCCAUACCUAGUACUUAGUAGUGUUAAUAUUUUUUAAAGGAAAUCAUUACCACAAACACAUUAUGGUAUUUUUCGAGUUGAAAAUUAGUUAAAGUAAUUGCGGUAGAAAAUACACAAUUUCUACCGCAAAAACCGUCAUGUAUGUAAAUCAAUGAUCAAUUCAAUUUCAUAUAUCUUCUUGUGACUAAAAAUCAAAAGAUAACAAUGUGGCCAUGUGGAUCCAUCUCAAACGUUUCCCUUAUUAUUUUUAAAGUCAUUCUUUUUAAUGGUUCAUUAAUCCAAAGUAUCUUUUUUAUUGCUUUGCUUUUUCUUUUUAUCAAAAGAAGUCCCAAAACCAUUUGUAGAACUUUAAGUGUAACUGUAACCUUAAUCAUUUUAGGCAUUGCUGUACCAAUCACCAUAACCUAUAAGUUUAAUUAGUGAAUAUACUAGUAUAAGUAUAAUUAUAGCAAUAGAGAAAAAGAAGGGCGUGUACAUACCUAUGAAUCAAAUUAGGGGAAUAAUUAACAUGAAGUUUGUAUGACAUAACUUGCAUUGUUCGUUACAAAAAGUUGAGAAAACUAGAAGAGGAAAAAAGAUAGAUGCAGUCGGUUCACUCCUACCAAUAACUAUAGCGUGCGCACCCAAGUCAAAUUCUAAAUCUAACACAGUUAUGUUGUCAAAAUUACGAUUGCAUUUUUAUUUUGUGAAAAAAUUUCAAAAAGUUUAUAUUGCAAUUGUAAUUGCAGUUGAGUGAAAUUUAAACCAUAUCAAGUUAUCAACUAACUAUAUAUGGUUGUUUGAAAAUAUUAAGAAACUUAACACUUUAAGCAAGAUAGUUAUUUAUAGGUUGACAUUCAAAUUCUUAUUGUGUACAAAGUAAAACUUUGGUUUGAAAAAAAAUACAUCUAAUGUAUUUAUUAUAUAUUUGACUCUAGUUAUCCCAAGGGUUGAUUAUAAACUUUGUGAUGUGAUAUCGUUAGCUUUUGGUGUAGUUUCUAAGUUGUUCGUCGUAUUUUCCUUUGUUAAUCUUAUUAAUUUACGAUUGAAGAAAACUCACUGUCAUUGAAAAUUGAUGAUAAGAUAAAUUACAAAUGAACUUGUACUUUCUUUUUAUAUGAUGCUCAAAUCACCUUAACAAACUAACUGAAUUCUAAAACAAGAAAAAACUAACUAUCUAACCAACUAUUACAAAAUGUUGACCAAGCAAUAACUAAUUGUAUUUUAACAUCUCCCUUCAAGUUACGCUAUGUAUAUCACAUAGAUCUAACUUGGAAAAAUUAAAAAUAAGGGAUGUAUGAUGAAGAGUCUUUAUAAAAACAAACAUAAGUUAAUUGCAUAAUUGUUCACCGAAAAAAAAGAAUAAACUUCCUUUGAAUUUUUUCUACCCUCUUACAUGACAAUCUAUCUCAAUAUCUUUGUUCCUUUUAAGGAAAGUUAGGUUAUGAGCAAGAUGGAUGGAAAACUUACCAUCACAAUAGAUAGAAGCAAGAUCAUCAAAUGAAAUACCACAAUCUUUAAGUGAGUAAUGCAAGCAUUGAAUUUCACAUGUUAAGUAUGUUAAGGCUCGAUACUCAGCAUUAAUGGAUGGUCUAGAUACAAUGUUAUGCUUUUUAAAUUUCCAAGCAACAAAUGAAGAUCCGGAGAAAACAUAAUAAUCUAUGAUUGAUUUUCUUGUCUCAUGGCAUCUUGCUUAAUUAGAGUCUAUAAACCCAUGCAGCUUUAACUGAGUAUGUAUGGGAAGAGAUAUCCUUUUACCAAGAAAGGAUUUUAGAUAUCUCAAAAUGUAAGUGACUGCAACAAGUGAGUAACAAGGGGUGUUCUUUAACUACUAGAAAUAUUUGUAGUUGUAUUUAUUGAAAUAUCAUAUGGUUUGACAUUUAAGUAAUCAGUGUGUUCAAGUAAUUAAAUAGUAUAUUUUCUUUGAUUAACAAAGAUUCUCUUAUCUAAUAUCACAAUUUUCAAACCUAGGAAGAAUUUCUAAGAACUUUGAUGCAAAAAAUUUGGUCUAAAAAUAGCUUAACAUUUUGCAUUUCUGACAUACAAUUUUCAAAUAGCACAAUGCCAUCCACAUAGACUAAAAGAUUAGUAAAAUUAAUACUUUAUGACUUGGUAUAAAGGGAAUGAUCAACCUGAGACUAAUUAUAACCUAAGGUUAUUAAUGCUAAGGACCACUUUGAAUACCAGUGUAUGCUAGCAUACUUGAGUCCAUAUAGAGACUUGUGCAAUUUGUACACUUUAGGUGAGCCAACAACAUUGGCAGGGUGACCAGAAGGCAAGUCCAUCUAGGUUCUUCCAUUCAAUUCUCCAUGUAGUUAUACAUUAUUGGCAUUUAGAUGUUCAAGGUGUCAAUACUUAAUAGAUGCCAAAGCUAAAAGAACUUUCAUUGUGUUGAUUUUUGCAACUGGUGAAAGUGUGUCAAAGCAAUCAACCUCUUCCAUUUGAUUGUACCUCAUAGCAAUCAACCUUGCCUUAUACUUCUCAAUUGAGCCAUCUGCAUUAUAUUUGAUCUUGUAUGUCCACUUGCACCUAACUAAACCAUUUCUUGUGGGAAUAUCAAUAAUUGGCCAUGUAUUUUUUUAUCAAAAGCAUGUAACUUGAUAUCUGAAAUUAUGUUCCUGAGGGGACAGAUGCUAGACACGAUGUUGAGACAAUUGGUCUAACUUGGUAAACUAGUAUGCCAUCAAUAUAACAACAAUAAUAACAUAAUGCAUAAAUCAAUAAAAUAAGAUGAGAGAUUGGUAAUCCAGUUUGGUGAAAUCACAUAUACGUCUGGAGGGCACUCUAUCCAAGAAAGGAAAUUCAUUACUUUGAAUUAGUACAAUUAGUCUUAUAGAAACACCAAGCCCAUGAUGUCCAAUGCCUCAUCCUAAUCGUAGUGACUUUCUAUUUAGGACUCCCCCUAAAUAUGAGAACCCAUUUCACUUUCUCUUAAUCACUAAUCCUAAGUGAUCAACUUCAAUAACAACAAUAUUAAAUAUUGAUUGUACAACUCAACUAAGACAAACCAACAAUCAUGUCAAGUUACAAAAGAAAUAGUGUGAUGUACAUAAACAAGGCCUAACACCUAUCCUUAUGAUAUGAGUGGUAAUAUUGACGUGGAAUACAAGUAACGAAAGACUCAAAACCAUAGUGCAAAGAACUUAAUCCUUAUGAUAUGAUUAUAUAUUCAACAAUUGUCAAACAAAUUACACGAGCAUUAUUAAAUAAUCUAUAACAAAUCUCAUUGAAUCUCAAUCAGAAAUUUUACACCUAACAUCCAUCAUGGCCUGCUGACAAGGGCUUUAUACUAGAACAACGUGUCCCAUAUCUUGCACUAGAACAUCCAAAUUAACUCUCUUCAUGAAUUAUAAAUAUCUUUGUAGAGUGAAUCUUGGAUUUAAUAAAUCUAAACCAAAACUGCAAUAACAUUUCUCUGUUGUCAAAGACUAGAUGUUGCAGCACACAUGUUGGAACAUUGUGUUCCACAUGUGUCCCCUCUGCACCAGAACGAAUUGAACAUACUCCAUGUGUUUUGCAUAAUGCAAUCAAUCCAAAAGGAACAACAGUAUCCGUGGCUUGCUUCUAACAACCAACCCGGGAGGCUUGGUUUUAAGUUUUAGGCUCAAUAUGGAUAAAUAUAGAAUAACAAUAGGCUUUGUAUGUAGUUUCACAAUGUUGGUAUGAUAAAAUCGAUGACAACAAGUAUGCAACAUUAGGAGAAAAUCCAAUAUUAGCAUCCAAAACAGAAUUACAAUGAAAAUCUUGCAGUUAUAUAAUUUUUUAUUUAUUAUUCUAGUAGUUUUUUUUAAAGCGAUUGGACUGGGAAAAGAGUCGGAAUCAUCCAUCGUGACAACUAUUACAUGGUCAAAUUUUGAUAAAUAAGAGACAUCAUUAUCCAGAUAAGAAGAAUGAUAAGGGCCAAAUGUGUAUGUGACAGGGUUAGGAAUGAGAUCAUCAAUGAUAACAUGAUCUUGAUUUUAUGGCUCUUUGGAUGGUGAAACUGACACAAAUUGUGAAUAUUGAAAAGUAAAGAAGUUCUCAUUAAGGACUCCAUUCUAGAGACAACAAUUAUGAGAAUUUUACCCAUAGAAAGUGUAUCCCUUUUUACCAUAAUUAUACCUAAGUAAAACAAAUUUCCUAGUUCUAGAGUCAAACUUGGUUCAAUAAGCUUGCAAGGUGGCUGCAUAGCUCAAGCAACUAAAUAUCUCAAGAUGCAUGCAAGAAGGUGUUUGUUUAUAUAAAAGUUCAUAAGGAUUUUAGUACUUAAGUAAGGGACUAUUGAUUUUAUGUAUAAUAUGAACAUGUUGGAUGCUAAAAUUUUACAUUGACAAAAGGAUGAAGGAAUGGAAGGAAAAAGACCUAGCCACAAUCAAAAUGUGUUGUUGCUUUCGUUUCACCGCACCAUUUUGUUAUUGAGUUUCUAAACAAGAUCUUUGGUGGAUUAUACCUGUAGAAGAAAAGAAAUCAUCAACGGAUAACUAAGUUCCAUUGUUAUACCUAAAUCACUUUAGGGUAGUAUGAAACUGAUUCUCUAUGUAUGCAACAAAAUUAAUCAAACUUUAUGUUGUUUCAUCUUUGGUUUUGACAAAGAUGAUCCAAGUAAAACUACUAAAGUCAUCAACCAAAGUUAGAAAAUAUAUAUGUCCCAAAAGAGACACAAUAGAGAAGGAACCCACAGAUAACCAUGCAAUAAAUCAAAGGGUGUAGAAGAAGAAGAAAUAUAAUAAGUAAAAGACAAUUUUUUUCUUAGUAUAAUGGUAGGAAUCAUAAUGUAACAUUUUAUUUUUACUAGAAACAAAGGGAAAAACUUUAAAAGGCAUGCAAACCAAAUCUAGCUUUUAAUAUAUAUAUAUAUAUAUGAUUGUUCCUUUUUUGUAUUAGCUGCAUUAUACAAAACAACAUGGUAUUUUCAAACUAUUUUUUGAGGAAAGGACACAUGUGGGAUAUGACGUUCUAGCAGGUGUGACACUUCUGGCCCUUGGUGUUGCUACUGCAUUGGUGUAUUUACUGUUUGUAUUUUGAGCACAUUUUAAAAAAAAAUCUCACUGAUUUGUUACUAGCAUUUAGCAACCUAAUUACUUAUAUUUGUUUGAUGAUUUAUUAAGAUCAAAUUUAAAUAUUUGGAAAUUUAAUUUUGAAUUCAAAUCAAAUCAACUCUUGUUGUGGAGUUGUUUUGAAAAAUAAAUCUUAAACAAAUCUCCACUUUAUCUGCUGAUCAAUUCUUAUGUCCAUUAGAGGAAACCCCAAUAGAUGAAUUCUUGAAGGUGAGAAAAAUAUAAGAAGGGGGAGUUAAAUUGUGUUGACUUUUUCUUUCUUUUUAAAUUCUUGGUCAAAUUCUAAACACAAGGUAUAUAAUCUGAAUCAAUCAGAGGUAGGCAGCAUAUAAAAAAAAUAUUCAUAUCUAGGCGGGAUAUCUACCCCCUAAAAAUUACAAAUAACCCAACUAUAAUAAUAUUUAAGAUGGAAAGCGUUCCAAGUUCUGGAUAGGAUAUGUCCAUCUAAUUCUUGCAACUUGUAAGCUCUGUGGGGGAGCUUAUGGAAUAUGCGAUAUAGUCCUUCCCAAUUGGGUUGUGGCUUUCCCUACUAUGCAAGCAUAAUCCCUUGUUUUAAGACUAGGCCGCCUUCUAGCAUUUCCCUCUGCUUGGCUUUGUAGAUGUACCUUUUGGUGGCUCUAUGCUUGGUGGAGAAUUAUUGAAUAUGCACGACUUCACUCAAUUUAUUGACCAAGUAUGCAACAUAUUCCAGUCCUACCUUGUUUACCUCUUGAUCAAAUUGGGAGCGUCACCACGAGGUUGGUUCAAUCUUUAUAAGAAGCAUAAUGUCUGCUUUAUACACCAUGGUGAAUGGAGUUUCCUUUGUAGUAAAGUGAGGGGUGAUAUGAUAUGACCAUAAUAUUUCAUGAAGCAGUUCCGCUCAUAAGCCUUUGGCAUUAUCGAGCUUCUUUUUAAUCCCUUUAGAAUCACCUUAUUUUCCAAUUCAGCUUGCCCAUUAGCUUACAAGUGUACAAGAGAUACAAACAUUGCUUGCACUCCCAAAUCUAGGAAAAAGUCAGUGACCAUAGCGCUGGCUAACUGGGUUCCGUUGCCGGAGACAAUGGCUCUGGGAAGCCAAAACCUGCAUAUAAUUUUCUUCCAGUAGAAGCAACGAACUAUUCCAGCUGUGAUUUUCGCGAAAUCUUAUGCCUUUAUCCAUUUUGUGAAGUAAUCUACUCCCAAUAUCAAGAAUAUUAGUUGGCCUGGCGCCAGGUGGAACAUACCUAAGAUGUUCACCCCCAUUGGUAGAAAGGCCAAUGUGACGUCAUUGAUUGAAAAAGCUCAGCUGGAGCAUGAUGAAGGUUAGCAUGACUCUGAAACUGGUCACACUUCUUGGGAAAGGAUAUGUUAUUCUUCAUUAGGGUAGACCAAUAGUAUCCCGCCCUAAGUAAUUUGUAGGCAAGAGCUUUUCUGCCAAAAUGACUGUCGUAGGCUCUUGUGUGGACUUCAGCAAGUACCAGGGUGGUUCCAUGCUCUCCUAUACACCUAAUUAUUGGAGAUUUUCUCCCCAUUUUAUAAUUUUUUUCCUGAGAGAAAGGUGUACUUGGCAUUCUUCUUUCGGGCCUUCUUAGUUUCCCCUUAAUCCGGUGGGGUUCGUCCUCACGUAGGUAUCAAAAUAUGGGCGAUAUCCAACUAUAUUCAUGGAAAAUUUCCAGGGAGUAAACUUCGCCUGCCUCAAUGUUAGGGAUGGUGAGAGUCUCCUAGAUCAUUGUUUUGUUAAACCAUGUUGUUUUUAAAUUGGCAAGCUUAGACAUGAGUUAUGCUCUGAAGUUAUGUUCAUGGUGAACAUGUUAUACAUCAAAAGAUAUAAAGAGUGUAGAUAUAAUGUGUACCUUGUGUAGAUAUUUUAUCAGUUGAGGCUCUUUAGCCUGGUACUAUCUAAAGACUUGGGUAGCGACUAAUUGGGAGGCUCUCAUCUCUAGGGCAGAGACCAUGCCAACAAUGAGGGCUUAAUACUCUUCCUGAUUGUUGCUAGCUUUGAACUCAAACUUUAAUGCUUGCUCGAUCAGUAUGUCACCAUGCCCUUCCAAUAUUGUUCAUGUGCCACUCCCAUUCACGUUUGAGGCAUCAUCAAUUAAUAAUUUCCACCCUAGGGGCCUCUAUUUGUCUGCAGGUGAGCUAAAUUCUGCCACAAAAUCUGCCAGAGCUUGGGAUUCAAUGCUUCCUAUCGGAGUGUAUUAGAGUUGUACUCUAAGAGCUCUACUACCCAAGGCAUCAUUCUUCCUACCAUAUUUGGUUAUUUUAAGAUAUGUCAAACAAGAUUGUUGAUUUUCACGAGGAUCUUAUGUCCCUGGAAAUAAGGCUGCAACUUUCUCGAUCUGACAAUGACAGCUAGUGCUAGCUCUCAAUAUUUUGAUACUUUGUUUCGGUGCCUCUGAACACCUUGCUAAUGAAAAACAUAGCUCUAUCUACUUUAUCCAUGUCUUGGAAAAGUACUGAGCUCAACGCCUGAUCUGUAACUGAGAAGUAAAGGAGUAGUAACGAUUCUUCUCUCGGGCGAGUGAGAAUGGGCGGUAAUGUGAAGAAGGAUUUUACCUUCGAGAAAUCCUCCUUGCAUUCUAUGGUCCAGUUGAACCUAUCUUUCAUCUUCAGAGUGGAAAAGAAAAGGAAAUCCUUGUCGUCCUCACAUGAGAGGGAACACGAUAGGGCAACGAGGCGACCUGAAAGCUGCCCCACUUCCUUGAAAUUGGUGGGGCUUCUCAUAUCAAUGACGACCUAAUAUUUAUCCGGAUUGGCUUUAAUUCCUCUCUUUGUCAACAUGUAUCCAAGGAACUUAUCGGCUUAAACCCCAAAAGAACACUUGGCAUGAUUCAAGCACAUGUUAUACUUUCUGACUGAAUGCAGGACAUCCUUUAAGUCUGCAGCAUGGUUGCACCCUAUGGUGGUUUUCACUAUCAUUUCUUCCACAUAGACCUUUAGGUUACUCCUUGUUCGGAUGGAUAACAUAACGCCCAUGAGUCGAUGGUAGGUGGCCACAAUGCUUUUAAGGCCGAAGGGUAUGACAUUAUAGUAGUAGUUGUCAUGAUUUGACAUGAAGGCUGCCUUGGGGAGUCUAGGGGAUCCAUUUGAAUCUGGUUGUACCUUGAGUAGGCAUCCAUGAAACUCAACAUGAAAUAGCUAGAGGACCCAUCAAUCAGGCAAUCAAUGUCGAGCAGAGGAUAUGGGUCCUUAGGGCAGGCAAUAUUUAGGUCCAUUGAAGUCCACACACAUGCGUAUCAUAUUCAUUGCUUUCCUCACCAACACCAUGUUGGCUAACUAGGUAGGAUAUUGUUUUUCAUAAUGAACCCAGUGCUGGAAAAAUUGCCUACCUCCUCAUCAAUGACGGUCCUCUUCUCCUCGCCAACUUUCUACUCCGUUUGCGCCAUAGGCUUGGCAAAAGGUUCGAAUGCAAGGCGAUGGCACACACUGUAGCGUAUAUCCCAAACAUGUCAAAGGGAUCCCAGGUGAACAAGUCGAUGUUUCUAAUUAGUUGGUUGACUAACUCAUGUUAUUCUUCCCCAGUUAGCGAAGUGCAUAUCUAUGUUACUUGAUAGGUUGAUGGGUCUAUCUUGAUUUCCUUCAGGUCCUCCGUGGGCAUGAAGCUCUCAUUGU